GUGGGUAGGAAUUCACAAAUUCUCGGGAUGGAGCACAGCCCUGCCGAACCGAGCAUCAUCCCUGGUCUGGGAGACGAUCACAUAAUGCGAGGUGAAAGUGUGAACAGAAGACGACGUAGCAGCCCUACAAAUGUCCUGGAUGGGGACAUGGGCCAAAAAGGCAGCCGACAAGGCCUUGAGUCGAGUGCGCCUUCACAAUUGGUGGCGGAGGGAUUCCCGCCAGGCCAUAAUAGGUCCAAAGUGGUGCACAUGGACAGAAGGAGUACCAUGUGAUCCUGCACCUGCAACCAAGAGCUGCCCUUGACCAACCAGUCAUCCAGAUUGGGGAAGAUCUGGACCCCCCGGCGCCUGAGAGCUUUGCCGUCAAACGGGAG